rnacentral:ncRNA from 2 species
AAGUUAUCACGAAAGGCAGAGGGAUUAGACCCGUUGAAACCUUAGCAACCUCCUUUUUUAAAAAGAAAAGGUGCUACAUUCUACAAGAAAUUACUAAUUUUAAAUUGGUAUUUACUUGACAGAUAACAG